AGCGAACGCUGGCGGCAGGCCUAAAACAUGCAAGUCGAACGCCGUAGCAAUACGGAGUGGCAGACGGGUGAGUAACACGUGGGAACAUACCCUUUGGUUCGGAACAACACAGGGAAACUUGUGCUAAUACCGGAUAAGCCCCUACGGGGAAAGAUUUAUCGCCAAAGGAUUGGCCCGCGUCUGAUUAGCUAGUUGGUGGGGUAACGGCCCACCAAGGCUACGAUCAGUAGCUGGUCUGAGAGGANGAUCAGCCACACUGGGACUGAGACACGGCCCAGACUCCUACGGGAGGCAGCAGUUAGGAAUCUUGGACAAUGGGCGCAAGCCUGAUCCAGCCAUGCCGCGUGAGUGAUGAAGGCCUUAGGGUUGUAAAGCUCUUUCAGCGGGAAGAUAAUGACGGUACCCGCAGAAGAAGCCCCGGCUAACUUCGUGCCAGCCGCCGCCGUAAC
rnacentral:rRNA from 1 species